AACGGACGCUGGCGGCAGGCCCAACACAUGCAAGUCGAACGCCCUAGCAAUAGGGAGUGGCAGACGGGUGAGUAACGCGUGGGAACGUACCCUUCGGUUCGGAAUAACCCAGGGAAACUUGGACUAAUACCGGAUACGUGCGAGAGCAGAAAGAUUUAUCGCCGAAGGAUCGGCCCGCGUCCGAUUAGCUAGUUGGUGAGGUAAUGGCUCACCAAGGCGACGAUCGGUAGCUGGUCNGAGAGGAUGAUCAGCCACACUGGGACUGAGACACGGCCCAGACUCCUACGGGAGGCAGCAGUGGGGAAUAUUGGACAAUGGGCGCAAGCCUGAUCCAGCCAUGCCGCGUGAGUGAUGAAGGCCCUAGGGUUGUAAAGCUCUUUCGCCAGGGACGAUAA
rnacentral:rRNA from 1 species